rnacentral:lncRNA from 10 species
GAAGUGGCAUUAAAUGAGCUCUCAGAGGCCUCCCAGCAGUGACCCAGAAUGAGGAAGGAGCUGGGGCCAUACCAGAGUCAGAGCUGGACCGGGAGCACGGCAGGGCCCAGCCAUCCACAGCCUCCAAUUUCAGUACUCUCUAACAACCUGAGAGCCUGAGCCUUCGGAUCUUCUUGAUUCCUACUUUGAUAAAGAGAGGGAUGGGGUUGGAAGGACCUGGCAUAGAGAUUGGACCAGUCCGGCAUUGACAGAGCCAGGACCUGGGGUCCGGAACUGAGCUCAGCUCCAGGCUCAUCUGAAGUCACCCUGACAGCCUGAGGAUGGAGACCUUAUUUCCAUUAACAGGCAUGGCGGUUGGCAGGGACUGGCCCCAGCUGAGCACGGUUUUCCAAGUACACAGCUGGGAAUUAAGUCUUCUCUGCCGCCCUCCCCUGUAGUCUUGCCUGGAUCCCCCCAGUCAUCUACUCCCAGUACCAAAAACUCC